GUAUCAUUUGUUCUAAAGUGUCUCAACUAAACUCAUAAACAGAUAAUAUUAGUUCACGUAAAAUAAGCUUCAAAAAUAAAAGACAAACAAUAGAUCAAAACUUGUAAGUAAGGUUAGCCAAUAUAUCCAAACAAUAUAAUUAAGACUCGAAAAGAGGAAGACUAAGAAAUAUUGGACUCCUAAUUUGUGAGGCUCCAAGCGUUGCGAUGAUCCUAAUUUGCUGUUGGCCUAAUAUCUUAGGCCAAUAACGAGUUCCAAAGUAGAAACUCCAGCUCUCCGGUUGUACAUGAAACAU
rnacentral:lncRNA from 1 species